rnacentral:tRNA from 1 species
UCCCUGAUAGCUCAGUUGGUAGAGCACUCGACUGUUAAUCGAGUUGUCACAGGUUCAAGUGGCUAUAAGGGGACCCU